rnacentral:lncRNA from 1 species
GGAUGCACCUUCUUCUUCUCCCUCCUGGCAUAUCUGCCUCAUGAGUCCUGAGCCCAGGUGAGGCCCUCAGGGUUCUCCUCAGUGUAGUUCUUCAGGUAGGUAGUCGUCGUCAGUGCACCAGAGAUGGCAUUUGUAUAUAGGUCCUUUUGAAACAGAAAGAAACAAAAGGUGAAUUAGACUGGCUUAAGUAAUUUUUUAAAAAAGAGGAGUUCUCGUGUGGCACAGCACUGCCGUGGUGCUGGUUUGACACCUGGCCCAUGAACUUCCAUAUGUCAAGGGCGUAGCCAAAAAAAAAAAAAAAAUUACAGAUGAAAUUAAAACUGCCAAUCAUCUGACUUUAUUUUUUAACUUUUAAUUUUUUUUGGUCUUUUGUCUUUUUAGGGCCACACCUGAGGCGUACGGAAUUUCCCAGGCUGGGGGUUUAACCAGAUCUAGAGCUGCCGGCCUACACCACAGCUCACAGCAACACCGGAUCCUUAGCCCACUGAGCAAGGCCAGGGAUGAACCCACAACCUCAUGGUUCCUAGUUGGGUUUGUUUCCGCUGUGCCAUGAUGGAAACUCCACAAGAAAGGCCAUCUGAGUUUAAAUUAUAAAGAUUAUUUAGGAAGGCACAGAAUAAUCUUUACUAAAAAAAAAAAGAAGUGUAUUGGCCCACGUGACUGAAAACCAAGGCCGUUCCAAGAGCGGGUUGGCGGUACCUCGCAGCCACUGCCGUCUCGUUUCUGCUUUCCCGUAUUCCCGAGAUGUGGUGACCAGCAGCUCCACAUCUUACAUCCCAACUCCCCCAGUUUUGAUAGUAACAGCAAAGAAAGCACCUUAUCCCAGUGCUUUGGGCAAGCCCCCCGGGGCUAAUGAUCCCCCUGGCAGGGUGGGAUUGCACUUUGCGGUCACGUGGGACACUUGGACCCCCAAAAUGAAGCACAUGGGAAGGGCUAGAACUCCCCCAGGUCAGAAAGUAGAAUAUUUUAUUGGAAGCUGCAUGUGUGGUUCACUGAGAUGAAGCCAGUGUGUCCUCCCUCAUCUAAAGUCUGAUCACUCAGAGCAUUUCAGCGCCCAGGUGUGCAGAGGGGGGACGGGCCGCAGCUGAUGUCCUGGAGCAGCCGUCUGUGUAAACUGAGUCUCAGGGUCAGCAGGCUUCCACGGGGCUGCCCCAGCCCCCAGUGCAUUUGCUUCUGGGUGCUCCUUGCUCUCUGCCUCUUUCCAGGUUAUCGUCCACUCAGGACCUGGCCUGUCCUCUCCGCUGCCGUAUCCCAAGCCACAGUCAGCUUCAUGGCCAGGUGACAUUCAACAGAGACAAGGGCCUCCCAGCUUAGAGGCCACAUCAGAACUGCCAGCCUACGCCACAGCCACAGUAACAUCAGAUCCAAGCCGUAUCUGUGCCCUAUGCCUCAGCUCACAGCAAUGCUGGAUCCUUAACCCACAGAGUAAGGCCAGGGAUUGAACCCAGCAUCCUUAUUGAUACGAGACAGGUUCAUAACCCGCUGAGCCACACCGAGAACUCUGCAGAUCCCGCUGGAUUUGGAGCCACGCGGAUUCGGUUGCGGGAGAGCCCUGCUCAGAGGAUCAGGUGCAGGGAGCUGUUUCUGAUUCCUGUCCCUUGCUGCCACGUGACUCUGGACAAGCCUCGGCGGAGACUUGAAGACUUCUGAGCAGGGAACUGGGCUCCGUCAUGUUGGCCAAGGGUGUGGCCAAGGCCUGACUGAGGGAGGCAGUGACCUCAGCUGCCAAGCUCUGUCACACCUACAGUGAGGGCCAUCUCUGCCUGGCUCCCAGAACCAGCAGGUGCUGCGUCUCUACUCAUCAGCUGAGUGCUCUGUUCCCGGAGUCCUCCCACGCUGUCUGGGUCCUCCCACACUGUCUGCCCAAGCUGUCGCUUUUGCCUGGCGUGGCCGCUUCUACCUCUCAUUACCCAUCAAAAUCCUUUCCAUGCUUCAAGGCCGCCUCUGUGACGACAGAACUGGGUGCUGGAAACGCAGGGCCAGAGAUGCUGCCCGCCCUCCAGAACCUGCUGUCUGUAAGAGGAGGGCCCAAAACUCUGGGAGUCAAGAGAGGGCUUACUGCAGUGGUGACCUACAAGUCAAGAGAGCAGAUGCUCGCCAGGUCUCUGUGCAGCUCAAGAGCAGUUACCGUUCCUGAGAGCCGUGAGGUACUGAACCAGCCACAGUGCCACAGGUUUCCAUCCCAUCGGCCACGGCAUGGACAGUGCCCGCUGCCUGGCACCAGAGCCACACCAUACCUAGGGUGGAAUGGGAGCUGUAGCUGCUGGCCUACACCACAGCCACAGCAAUGUGGGAUCUGAGCUGUGUCUGCGACCUACACCACAGCUCACAGCACCGUUGGAUCCUUAACCUACUGAGCGAGGCCAGGGAUCGAACCUACAUCCUCAUGGAUACCAGUUGGGUUCAUAACCUGCUGAGCCAUAGUAGGAACUCUAAAGCUUUUGAAAAAUUAUGUAACCUGCCUGUAAUUUGUGGCUAGUGACGCCACGGUGUAUUCCUCUAAACGGCGGAGCUCAGAAAACUCUCAAGGGCAGCAAAGGGGGAGAGUUUACCAAGGUCACACUGUGUGUUGGUGGUUGAACUGGGUCAGUGUUCCACUGGUGGUUUUUCCCGGUCACUGCUAGCAGGGUAUUGAUGCAGUAACCAGCCCUACGGCCAGCCCACCGUGUCCCUUGCCCCAGUGGCAGGAAAGAGUGCCCAGUGGAUUAGAGCAUACACUUUGGAGUCAAACAGACCUAUGUUCAAAUCACAGCUCCCAAGCUAACUUGCUGGCUGACCUUGAGAACGACCCUUCCUCUCUCUGAGCCUAUGUCCUCUUCUGCAAAAUGGAACAGUAACCUCGCUCAUUUCCUGGGGUUGCUGGAGGAGUGAGUGCGAGAAGGCACAUGGGGUGUCUGUCCAGCGAGGCCACCCAGUUGAUGUGGACUAAGCCGUGACCUUGUCUCUGAAAUGAUCCAUGAGCUGAAAGAGCUUUGCAGCUGCCGUUCCACAUAAAGAAGCCCUGAAAUCUGCUUCACGGCGAUGACGUAGGCUGGGAAGGAGGCCAGAGGCCGCAGGGUGUCUGACUCUGGAAGAGACCCACACGCAAAUAGGCACCUCGCACCUGGCCACACACACCCUUGUGAGACGUAGGUGCACACAUUUGUGUACACGUGCAUGUGCACAGGGGGAUGCUCACACAGGAUGCGUGCCACAGAUAUGCUCACAUAUAGAUAUGCACAUGCUCACACGUCUGCGUGUGCCCACACGCGUGCGCACCCACACUUCCCGUGUACACAUACUUCCUCCUCUUUGCCUGGUUAACACUUACUCCUUCCGCCUCCACCCGCAGGUCACUGCCUGGGGGCAGCCGCCCUGAGCCCCUCAGCUUGUGUUCCCUUGGCCUCCUGCAUUUUCCCCCUUCCGUUUGCAUCUUAAUUGUCAUUGAACAAUUGUGUAACAAGCUGCUUAAUUCUGGAUUUUCUACUAGACUCUUAUCUCUGCAGAGGGCAGGGACAAAGCCUGACUAUUCCCCAAUGAUGGAAAGCUCCUAGCACAGCCUAGCACAUAGUAGGCCUUUGACAGAUACGUGCCAUUGUUUUUUUUUUUUUUUCUUUAUCAAGGGCUGCAUCUGUGGCACAUGGAGGUUUCCAGGCUAGGAGUCAAAACAAAGCUGCAGCUGCCAGCCUAUGCCACAAGCCACAGUAACGCGGGAUCCCAGCUGCGUCUGUGACCUACACCACAGCAACAGCAAUGCCGGAUCCUUAACCCACUGAGCAAGGCCAGGGAUCAAACCCCCAUCCUCAUGGAUCCUGGUCACAGUGCGACUUCCGACAAACAUGCGCCAUUGAUUGAACAGAACCUCAGGGAUCCCUUUUGGGUGCAGGCAGGAGAGCAGCCUCUUCACUGUGGGCUGCCUUGUACGGAUUUCUGGCCUUGGGUCUGUGGGAGGUUUUAGGCUCAGCCAGAGAAACCCACCCUCACAAUGUUGCGGAGGCUGGCGAGGAAGAAAACGCAGUCGCCAGGAAAUCGCGUGUCAGUGGUGAAGGGAUGUCCAGGAAGCCCGAGGGCAGAGAGCUCCUUGUCGCUUCUCGCUUGCUUUCCCCCAGGAGGCGAGGGACACCACAACUGCCCCAAGUGACAAGGCUGACCAGUCGCUGCCUGGGCUGGCACAGGGCGGCCUCCCUUGCCUCAGGCCAGAUGAGGGCGGUAAGCAGGCGUCUUCAGGGCAGAGAGAGGGCGGAGGAUGAUGCUCUGGUGGGAGUGAGAUGCAGUGCUGGGUGGCUGGAGGAGAUUUCCUUCCUUUAUUUAUCAAAGGAGUACUUACGGACACCUUCUAAGUGCCAGGCACUGUGCCAGCUGCUGGAGAUACAGGAGAAAGUGAGUUAUGUGUGGCCUUGGACCUCCGGGUGCUCAAAUCUUACGGGCGAUGUGGAUAAGAAACCAGACCAUCCCCAUGCAGUGUGGUCCAGGCUCCCCAGGGGAGCUGAGACGCAGGCCUCCUAAGGAGGGUGGGAGUGGCUUAUGGAGGAGAGGGUUUCUGAGCUAAGGCCUAGAGAAGGAGCCAGGCCAGGAGACGCGGAAAGAGUGCUGUGAGUGGAGAGAAGGGUUUGUGGGCCGGCCCCAAAGGGAGAGAGGGCACAUGGCAGGAAUCCAGUGUGGCAGUGGCUGGCUCGUCCCGGUGGGGUGGCCAUAAGCUGGGGAGGAGCGGCAGCCAUCAAAGGAGGCUGAGCAUCUGGGAGCAGUGAGGUCCUGCAACCUGAAGAGAGGGGACAUGGGGAAGGAGCCUUGCUGUUCACUGGACAUGACCUUGCCUUCUCUGGGCCUGUUUUCUCACCUGUCACGUGGACAGGGGGGCUCGGUGACGGCCCACAUACUUUCCCAAGGCUGCUGUCUAAGCUCCCAUCAGGCCGGGUGAACCCUGUGCGUCCCCCCUUCCCCACCCCUGUGCUCUCUGCCGCCUCCCAUCCUGCCCCACAUCCUCUCUGUCCUGUGCCGUCCACCCUGGCCUCUUCCUCUGCCACUCCUCAGAAGCCGUGUCUCGUAGGAGCACCUCCUUGAUGGGGUGAUCAUGUCACCCACUUUUCCAUCCUCGUCCUGUGCCCUUCUCCGCACCGCACCCGAACUUCUCUCUCCAGCUCCCAGAGCUGUUUCUUGUCUGGAAUUCUCAGCCUCCUCCCUCCCCUCACCACGUCUCACUUUUGUCUUGCCAAUCCUUCCAGUUCCAGCUAAGCCCUUUCUUCAGUGAAGCCCUCCUCUAGGGGCCCAGCACCUGCCCCGUGCUGUGUUAACACUCUGCCUCCUUCCCAGCGCUCGCAGGGCAGUACUAACGUGGUCGUGUGUGAUGACGGAUGCCCACUCCUUCCGAGACAGAAGCAGGGGCAGGGGGCGAAGCACGUGUUUAGUAGGUUCUGGGUGGUGAGUUGAGUGGAUAAGUGGCUGUCAGUGGAUUUAAUGCCUUUCACACAUAUAUAAGUUAUUAAUUAUGCUCAGGCCAGGACUGUAAACUGAAACUUUGUUCAUCAGUUCACAAAGUAGAGUGACAUGUUUUGCCACUAGAGGGCAUCGUGAAACCGUAAAGUUGGGGGUGAGCCUCAGGGACCCUGGCCUCUUUUUGAGUUGACGUGUAAAGUUCAGUCACUUUGUAUUCUGUGUCCACUCAGGACACAUCAAUUAAAAUUUUAAAAAAUGUGUAGACCCUUAUGAGUUGGAAGGCUUGCCAGAGCCUGUUUGGUCCCACCCUGGACACUUGAGACCUGAGGGAGAGUGAGUUCCCCUGCCUUCAUUGGCCCCAGGACACCGAUUUGUUCCUGGCUGUGGGAAAAUCCCUCUUUUUCAAUAUUCCUUUUUUCCUAUUUUGUAGGAGAAACUGUUGUAACUCCUGUCUCUUUCAAUCCAUCCAAUAAAUAUUUACUGACUUUCCACCGUGCGAUGGGCACUGUGUUAGGUGCUAGUAUUUCUAGUUUGCAAAACAGGCCUCUGUCUCAUGGAGUCCACUGUCUGGUUGGGAAAAUGAAUAUUGAAAAGUAAUAUAUAGAUACUAUCUGUGAUUAGUGCAAAAUGAAAGUCAGAGCCUGAGGACAGGACAUAACAGAGCUCCUGCCUCUUUCUUGAGCUCCCUCUUGGAGGAGGGCCAUUUGGCAGAAACCCAGAGGCUGAGCAGCCACUGGCAGAGGGAUCAGAAGGCCAGGUUUCCACCCUGGAGUUCCCUGGUGGCCUGCUGGUUCAGGAUCUGCUAUUAUCACUGCUGUGGCUCACAUUUGAUCCCUGGCCUGGGAAUUUCUGCAUGCCAGAGGUGUGACCAAAAAAAAAAAAAAA